rnacentral:misc_RNA from 1 species
ACGAAUUUCGAUUCGGUCUUCUGUGCUGGUGGCAACACAUGUGCACGUUGAUCGUAAUUCCAUUCUCCUUUCAAUCGUCCAAGUGUGUUCGGUCGGCCUUUUGGGUCGAAGAAGCGUGGCCGUCAGGCUCGUUUCGUUCUGAGCGCACAUUGGUUAUUUCACCCACUCUGGGUACUCAAAACAAAGAAAACAAAUCAUAUAAAUUAAA